AAGUCGUAACAAGGUUUCCGUAGGUGAACCUGCGGAAGGAUCAUUAACACGUAUCCAACGUUAAACCCCCCGUGAACCUUCAGUGCGAGGGGGGCUCGCGCCCAGUGACCCGGUCGCCGGCCGUGUCGGCCUCUAGCGAUCGUGACUGCGCCAUUCGUACAGAGCUGGUGACACUUUCAGACACCAACAAGCAGAGGAAUGCCAGGCCACUUGCCUCGCGCUCAAGCACAGUCUACGCAGAAGUCCCUGAAUCAAAACUGUUCGGCAAUGAUUUACCAGGGAUUGCUACCUUUUCUCACGUCACCUUUGCAUGAAAACGGGCCUGCGCUUAAUUGUGCGGCCACCAAACUCGAACAACUGUUAACAAUGGAUAUCUUGGUUCUC
rnacentral:misc_RNA from 1 species